GACCCGACGUUGAAUUGCAUAGUUAAAAUUCUAUGUCGGGCAGAAAUGAGCGUUUCGAUUAGGAACGUUUCCUCUCUCGACCUCCACAAGUCAGAAUGCUGAAGUGGUACUUUACCGGUUGUCCGUGUGCUUGGUCCUUUUUGCAGGAUAUACAUUGGGAGACGUCUCAGCACCUACUGAUGCUGAUGCUGCGUUCUGACACCAGUCACCCCUGUUGUGACUCAUACAGCUGGCAUGCCUUCAAAUGGGACAACUUCGGAAUCAUACAGCUGACAUGCCUUCAAAUGAGACAACUUCAGAAUCAUACAGCUGGCAUGCCUUAAAAUGGGACAACUUCAGAAUCAAGGGAGAAGGGGUUGAUAUAGCAUUCUCCAUUUUAGCUGAUUGCCUCAAAUCUUAUCUUCUUCACCCUGGUGAAUGCUUUGUACUGCUUCUUUCUCCCAGAAAUGCCUUGAAUCAGGAACUGCUUUGUGCUACCUUGUUCCUCGCAGUAUUUAGAAUGUUGUUUUAUAUUGAUGGCUGCCAAUCAGCAUUCAUGUUUAUCUCAUUUUCUUUUGCAUGUCGAGUUUGUGGUGUGCCUGAUUGUUAUGUUCAAGGGAAUGAUUCAUGUGAAUGAAUAUUAAUUGUGAAAUAUUUCCUUCACUAAUGUUCUUUGAGAAAUUACUUAAAUGAGUACUGAAAAAGUACAAUGUAUGUUUGAGUUAUUUAGCAGACACUCUUAGCCAGAGUGACUUACAGGAGCAAUUCUGGUUAAGUGCAUUGCUCAAGGGCACAUUGACAGAUUUUUCACCUAGUCUCAGGAUUUGAACCAGCAAAGUUCUUAACCACUAGGCUACCUGCUGCAUUUGAAAUCAUUCCAUAAUUUUCUCUGAACACCUCAACUUACUGAAUAGACAUCUACAGUAUGCCAUCAGACUCAUUUCACCUGUUUAAAUUAAUGGAGGCAUAAUGCAAAUGAACAUUAUUUGAUUUUAUUUAACUUUGGUCAACAUAAACAUAUGAAUACAUUGCCACCAUGUUAAUUAUUAAACAGAGAAAUGCUUUUUUACCAGUGUUCCUGUUUUAAAUGUUAUAAUCAGUACAUAUGUCAAUUCAACCUUCAUUUUUGCAUUGGUAACUUGGAAAACAAAUAUGCACUUUUGAUCCCAAUAAAUGAUUUAAGGGCACAUGUAAGAGGCUUGUCGUAAUGUCCUCUUACGACACGAAGAACCAUCAACUUUCCAUGUUUUG